CCUACGGGGUGCAGCAGUCGAGAAUCAUUCACAAUGGGGGAAACCCUGAUGGUGCGACGCCGCGUGGGGGAAUGAAGGUCUUCGGAUCGUAAACCUCUGUCAUGUGGGAGCAAAUUAAAAAGAUAGUACCACAAGAGGAAGAGACGGCUAACUCUGUGCCAGCAGCCGCGGUAAUACAGAGGUCUCAAGCGUUGUUCGGAAUCACUGGGCGUAAAGCGUGCGUAGGCUGUUUCGUAAGUCGUGUGUGAAAGGCGCGGGCUCAACCCGCGGACUGCACAUGAUACUGGGAGACUAGAGUAAUAGAGGUGGAACCGGAAUUCUCGGUGUAGCAGUGAAAUGCGUAGAUAUCGAGAGGAACACUCGUGGCGAAGGCAGGUUCCUGGACAUUAACUGACGCUGAGGCACGAAGGCCAGGGUAGCGAAAGGGAUUAGAUACCCCUGUAGUC
rnacentral:rRNA from 1 species